UACAGAGGUCUCAAGCGUUGUUCGGAUUCAUUGGGCGUAAAGGGUGUGUAGGUGGCGCCGUAAGUCGGGUGUGAAAUUUCGGAGCUUAACUCCGAAACUGCAUUCUAUACUGCGGUGCUUGAGGACUGGAGAGGAGACUGGAAUUCAUGGUGUAGCAGUGAAAUGCGUAGAUAUCGUAAGGAAGACCAGUGGCGAAGGCGGGUCUCUGGACAGUUCCUGACGCUGAGGCACGAAGGUCAGGGGAGCAAACGGG
rnacentral:rRNA from 1 species